GGAGGACACAUGACGCCCGGGAGGGAAAAGAAACGCGCGCAGAGACUUGCUCCGCUGGGCUUCAUUAUCUCUACUCUCUGUGAGGAUGCUGACGAGAGAAGAGGCUCCGCCGGACAGUUGCGUGUCUCCUGCUCAACAUUGGGGCCAUCUGUCUGCCACUCAGCAGCCUAAUGUGCCUUGUCAACAACGCAGCGCUUAGCUGCGAGGACGCCUGUGGGAAGCCAUGCUCCUCCUCCAGCUGCAGCUCCGCUGUUGGACACUAGAGCAACAUCCAUGAUGGGGAAAUCAGUGUGUUCCCUUUGCUGACGACUGGCUCCAUUUUAUAUGGAGGCAUGAUGGAAGAAUGCUGUGUAAAUUUUCAUUCAAGAAUACGCACACACUUCA